CGUUGAGGCGCCUACUUGGAGGCACAUUAGACCAGAGCUUUGAGGACACACAUGCAGUUCUUGCAGCCGGGACCCUGUUGCGUGUCAAGUUUGUCCCACCUGCUUCUCCUCGCCUCCCCCGGGUCCUUCCUAAGAAGCUCUCAGUGCAGCAGGGAAGCUGGCAUCCAAUGUGCCCAGCUGUGGGUACAGCCGGACUGGACACCUUCUUCAAGUGUUCCCAAGCUGCUUCCCAGGGGCGGCAGUGACACGCAGUGGGAGCUACGGUGUCCCAGGCCUUCGCACUUGUGCUGGAGGAAAUCAUCUGAUCGAGAAUGAAGUUUCUACCCCAAAGUCAUCUGCAAGAGUCUUCGGGAAAUGAUAGUACUAACACCCCGACACACCCCGACCUGGCUGACCCUCUGCCCCACAGGGCAGGCUGUCCACACCCCAGCAAGGCCCACGCCUGACUCCAUGUAGGGCGAGAUGACUUUGGUUCAAGACCACAAAGACUCUCAUGGUCGCCAGUUUCUUGGGGACCUUCCAAAUGGUGUUAGGUUGAACUCAGAAGCUACUUAAAAGUCAAUAAAGUAGACAUGAUUUUCCUAACCCAUCUGGUUACCUCAGCUUUCCUUACAUUGGCCUUCAUGGAGGACAUUUGUAACGUGGAGGAAAUAUUCUGAUUAGAAGAUGUGACUCAAAAAAACAAAUAAGAAAAAGAAAAAUACAUAUGAAAAGUAAACAAAAACCAGGUACCAAUGCGGGGCUCAAGCUUGGCUCUGUGGAAAAGU